rnacentral:rRNA from 1 species
AUUGAACGCUGGCGGCAGGCCUAACACAAGCAAGUCGAGCGAGCGGCGGACGGGAGAGUAAUGUAUGGGGACUGCCCGAUAGAGGGGGAUAACUACUGGAAACGGUGGCUAAUAACGCAUACUAUCGGAUAACCCAUAUGGGCUUAGCUAGUAGGUGGGGUAAAGGCUCAACUAGGAGACGAUCUCUAGCUGGUCUGAGAGGCUGAUAAUCAGCACUGGGACUGAGACACGGCCCAGAUUCCUACGGAGGCUGCGGUGGGGAAUAUUGCACAAUGGGCGCAGGCCUGAGCCAGCCCUGCCGCGUGUAUGAAGAAGACCUUAGGGUUGUAAAGUUCUUUCAGCGGGGAGGCGUUCCCCGCAGAAGAAGCACCGGCGAACUCCAGGCCAGCAGCCGCGGUAAUUC